UGUGUGUCCUUGCGGGUCGACGAUUCGCGGCCUAUCAGCUUGUUGGUGAGGUAAUGGCUCACCAAGGCGACGACGGGUAGCCGGCCUGAGAGGGUGACCGGCCACACUGGGACUGAGACACGGCCCAGACUCCUACGGGAGGCAGCAGUGGGGAAUAUUGCACAAUGGGCGAAAGCCUGAUGCAGCGACGCCGCGUGAGGGAUGACGGCCUUCGGGUUGUAAACCUCUUUCAGUAGGGAACAAGGCCAGUGUUUAGCUGGUUGAGGGUACUUGCAGAAGAAGCGCCGGCUAACUACGUGCCAGCAGCCGCGGUAAUACGUAGGGCGCAAGCGUUAUCCGGAAUUAUUGGGCGUAAAGAGCUCGUAGGCGGUUUGUCGCGUCUGCCGUGAAAGUCCGGGGCUCAACCCCGGAUCUGCGGUGGGUACGGGCAGACUAGAGUGAUGUAGGGGAGACUGGAAUUCCUGGUGUAGCGGUGAAAUGCGCAGAUAUCAGGAGGAACACCGAUGGCGAAGGCAGGUCUCUGGGCACUAACUGACGCUGAGGAGCGAAAGCAUGGGGAGCGAACAGGAUUAGAUACCCUGGUAGUCCAUGCCGUAAACGUUGGGCACUAGGUGUGGCGGAUUCAUUGACAUCUGCCGUGCCGAAGCUAACGCAUUAAGUGCCCCGCCUGGGGAGUACGGAAU
rnacentral:rRNA from 1 species